GGGGGCUGAAUGCCGGCGUCAGGCCGGCGCGCCGUGCGUCUGCUGUUUUAUAACUGAGGCGGGGGGGAGCGGCGGCCAUGAGGGAAAGGCGGGCGGGGCUGCCGUGGCGCCGGCCGUUACAGAGGGGCAGCGCGGCCCCGGCACCGCGUCGGCGGGAAUUGUGCUGCCCGGGCGUUGUCUGUGGGCAGAGCGGAGCCCCGUAGCUCUGUGGUUACGGGUGGGAGGUGGGGGGCACGAAGUCUGCCGGUCCCGUUGCCGCGGGUGGUGCUAAGGAAGCCCCCGGUGCUGCCGGUGGGGCAGCAGCCCGCAGCUGGGCGCGGACGGCGGCCGUAGUGCCUGCUGGAGCGCUGGGCUUGGUGGGAAACCCGUGCUCCUCCUCCCCUGUAAGGUCGUCUGAGAGACCCUUCUGAGUUAGCGAUGUUUCGAGGGGAGUCGUAACAAAGCCGUUAGUUUGGUGGCACGUGUAAAGUAGCUCCAUAAAAGCCGAUACAGAGGUUUGCAUUGACGCACCGACUUGCCCUGCAGGCAUCAGCACUGCUGUCUAGUCUGUGUCCUACAAGCAGCGGCUUAUUACUUG
rnacentral:lncRNA from 1 species